GAUGAACGCUAGCGGGAGGCCUAACACAUGCAAGCCGAGCGGUAGAGAUUCUUCGGAAUCUUGAGAGCGGCGUACGGGUGCGGAACACGUGUGCAACCUGCCUUUAUCAGGGGGAUAGCCUUUCGAAAGGAAGAUUAAUACCCCAUAAUAUAUUAAGUGGCAUCACUUGAUAUUGAAAACUCCGGUGGAUAAAGAUGGGCACGCGCAAGAUUAGAUAGUUGGUAGGGUAACGGCCUACCAAGUCAGUGAUCUUUAGGGGGCCUGAGAGGGUGAUCCCCCACACUGGUACUGAGACACGGACCAGACUCCUACGGGAGGCAGCAGUGAGGAAUAUUGGACAAUGGGUGAGAGCCUGAUCCAGCCAUCCCGCGUGAAGGAUGACGGCCCUAUGGGUUGUAAACUUCUUUUGUAUAGGGAUAAACCCUUCCACGUGUGGAAAGCUGAAGGUACUAUACGAAUAAGCACCGGCUAACUCCGUGCCAGCCGCCGCGGUAACAC
rnacentral:rRNA from 1 species